UCUACGGGUGGCAGCAGUGGGGAAUAUUGCUCAAUGGGGGAAACCCUGAUGCAGCGACGCCGCGUGAGCGAUGAAGUAUUUCGGUAUGUAAAGCUCUAUCAGCAGGGAAGAAGAUGACGGUACCUGACUAAGAAGCCCCGGCUAACUACGUGCCAGCAGCCGCGGGAACACGUAGGGGGCAAGCGUUAUCCGGAUUUACUGGGUGUAAAGGGAGCGUAGACGGCGGUGCAAGCCAGAUGUGAAAGCCCGGGGCUCAACCCCGGGACUGCAUUUGGAACUGGAUGGCUGGAGUGUCGGAGAGGCAGGCGGAAUUCCUAGUGUAGCGGUGAAAUGCGUAGAUAUUAGGAGGAACACCAGUGGCGAAGGCGGCCUGCUGGACGAUGACUGACGUUGAGGCUCGAAAGCGUGGGGAGCAAACAGGAUUAGAUACCCUUGUAGUC
rnacentral:rRNA from 1 species